rnacentral:rRNA from 1 species
AUUGAACGCUGGCGGCAUGCCUUACACAUGCAAGUCGAACGGCAGCAUGAUCUAGCUUGCUCGAUUGAUGGCGAGUGGCGAACGGGUGAGUAAUACAUCGGAACGUGCCCUGUAGUGGGGGAUAACUAGUCGAAAGAUUAGCUAAUACCGCAUACGACCUGAGGGUGAAAGUGGGGGACCGCAAGGCCUCAUGCUAUAGGAGCGGCCGAUGUCUGAUUAGCUAGUUGGUGAGGUAAAGGCUCACCAAGGCGACGAUCAGUAGCUGGUCUGAGAGGACGAUCAGCCACACUGGGACUGAGACACGGCCCAGACUCCUACGGGAGGCAGCAGUGGGGAAUUUUGGACAAAGGGCGAAAGCCUGAUCCAGCAAUGCCGCGUGUGUGAAGAAGGCCUUCGGGUUGUAAAGCACUUUUGUCCGGAAAGAAAUGGCUCUGGUUAAUACCUGGGGUCGAUGACGGUACCGGAAGAAUAAGGACCGGCUAACUACGUG